rnacentral:rRNA from 1 species
CCUACGGGUGGCAGCAGUGAGGAAUAUUGGUCAAUGGACGAAAGUCUGAACCAGCCAAGUAGCGUGAAGGAUGACUGCCCUAUGGGUUGUAAACUUCUUUUAUAUGGGAAUAAAAUGUUCCACGUGUGGGAUUUUGUAUGUACCCUAUGAAUAAGCAUCGGCUAACUCCGUGCCAGCAGCCGCGGUAAUACGGAGGAUCCGAGCGUUAUCCGGAUUUAUUGGGUGUAAAGGGUGCGUAGGUGGAUUGUUAAGUCAGUUGUGAAAGUUUGCGGCUCAACCGUAAAAUUGCAGUUGAAACUGGAAGUCUUGAGUACGUUAGAGGUGGGCGGAAUGCGUGGUGUAGCGGUGAAAUGCUUAGAUAUCACGAAGAACUCCGAUUGCGAAGGCAGUUUACUAGACCGCAACUGACACUGAGGCUCGAAAGCGUGGGUAUCAAACAGGAUUAGAUACCCUGGUAGUC